GAUGAACGCUAGCGGCAGGCUUAACACAUGCAAGUCGAGGGGCAACACGGGUAGCAAUACCUGGUGGCGACCGGCGCAAGGGUGCGUAACGCGUGAGCAACAUACCCUAUACAGGGGGAUAAUCCAGGGAAACUUGGUCUAAUAUCCCAUAGGAUUUACAGAUGUCAUCAUCUAUAAAUUAAAGCUUCGGUGGUAUAGGAUUGGCUCGCGUGACAUUAGCUAGAUGGUGGGGUAACGGCCUACCAUGGCCAUGAUGUCUAGGGGUUCUGAGAGGAAGACCCCCCACACUGGGACUGAGACACGGCCCAGACUCCUACGGGAGGCAGCAGUGAGGAAUAUUGGACAAUGGAUGGAAAUCUGAUCCAGCCAUGCCGCGUGCAGGAAGACGGCCCUAUGGGUUGUAAACUGCUUUUAUAUGGGAGCAAUAAGGUCUACGCGUAGACCGAUGAGAGUACCAUAUGAAUAAGCAUCGGCUAACUCCGU
rnacentral:rRNA from 1 species